UACAGAGGGUGCGAGCGUUGUCCGGAAUCACUGGGCGUAAAGGGCGCGUAGGCGGCCUGAUAAGUAGGGGGUGAAAUCCUGUGGCUUAACUGCAGGGCUGCCUCCUAGACUGUUAGGCUCGAGCACGGUAGAGGCAGAUGGAAUUCCCGGUGUAGCGGUGGAAUGCGUAGAGAUCGGGAAGAACAUCGGUGGCGAAGGCGGCAUCCUGGACCAACACUGACGCUGAGGAGCGAAAGCCAGGGGAGCAAACGGG
rnacentral:rRNA from 1 species